rnacentral:ncRNA from 1 species
UAAAAUGCGAUGACAGGGCACAAGGCUGGGCGCUUCCCGGUGCAGAGAGCCGCCGGUUGGUGAAAGGCGGAGCGGGUUCCCGGCGUAUAAAUCCCCCUUGAGCAGUCAGGCUGAAACCACAGUAGGUCUGUCCGGUUCCUCCCCGUUACCGUGAGGGCGCAUGGAAUCACCAUGCGGUCAAAGUGGUCAAUGAUGACAACGAGAGUGGUACCGCGGAAGCAGCUUUGCCUUCGCCUCUUGA